UCUAAGACGAGGAUAACGACUGGAAACGGUACGCUAAAACUGGAUAGGAUCAAUUUGAGGCAUCUCGAAUGGAUUUAAAGGGGCUUUCAAGCCACACUUAGAGAGAGGCCUGCGGCGCAUUAGCUAGUUGGUGGGGUAGAGGCCUACCAAGGCGAUGAUGCGUAGCCGGACUGAGAGGUCGAACGGCCACAUUGGGACUGAGACACGGCCCAAACUCCUACGGGAGGCAGCAGUAGGGAAUUUUCGGCAAUGGGGGAAACCCUGACCGAGCAACGCCGCGUGAAUGAAAAGACGUAUUUCGGUAUGUAAAGUUCUUUUAUUAAGGAAGAAUAUCACGGAUAGGAAAUGAUCUGUGAGUGACGGUACUUAAUGAAUAAGCCCCGGCUAACUAUGUGCCAGCCGCCGC
rnacentral:rRNA from 1 species